CAAAAAAACAAACCCUGGUUUCCGUGUCCAACGUUUGACCGUCCGUCUUAUUUGAAAAAACUAUAAAAAAAAUUAAAAAGAUAAGUUACGCAUAAAGUAUUAAUCAUGUUUUAUCAUCUAACAACAAUGAAAAUACUAAUUACAAAAAAUUUCAUAUAAGACGGACAGUCAAAUGUUGGACACGGAAACCCAGUGUUUGUCUUUUU
rnacentral:pre_miRNA from 1 species